rnacentral:lncRNA from 1 species
UGGGCAUCUGGCGGGCACUGUGGCCUGCAGAGACUCGAGGUGUGGAGGGCAGAGCCAGGGAGGAGUGAGCAUGUCUUGGGACCUGACAGCCAGGCGGCUGGCACCACCAUCACCGCUAUCGCUGCUCCUGGUGCUGGUGCUGCUGUCCGGAGCUGGGGCUCUGCGUCCUGAAGAGCUCUUUCCUUACCGGGAGUCGUGGGGCUGCCUCGGGAGGGCGACGAUGAAAGCUCCGCGGCUGUGAAGCUAGCAGUACCUCUACGCUUCUAUGGUGUCCAGUUCAGCAACCUCUAUGCUUAGCAGCGGCGCUGCAGCUUCUUGAUCCCUACUGUGGAGGAAUAAGGAUCAUUUCAAGGGAGAGCUGGAACCAUCCCCCUCUACUUCGACUUCCCAGGUGGGCACCAAUGGCAUCAUCUCCACCCAGGACUUACCCAGGGAGACUUAAUAUGUCGUUGAUGAUUUUCCUACUGACUUCCUAGCCAUCGCCCCAUUCCUGGCUGACAUCCACUCGAGUCAGAGCAGUGGCCGGAUCCUGUAUGGAGGACACCUCCUGGGCUGUGCUGUGUCUGGCUGCUUGCUACCUGUGCACAGGCUUCCUGCUGACCAGGUCCAGCUUCCCCCCUACCCACUUCUUCCUGGCCACCUGGGAACAAGUGGGCCCCUAGGAGGAGGACAGUCUUGGGGCUGCGUGGUCUAGAGAGCUUAACACUCUCCAGGCUGUUCUGGCAUCCGAUGAAUGUGAUUCCUAUGUCCUCUUUCUCUAUCCUGCCAAUGGUCUUCAGUUUUUGGAACUCGCCCCAAAGAAUCCUACAGUGUCCAGCUGCAGCUUCCUGCUAAGAGAGAUGGGACCACAUCACCACUACUACAGAGAGAAGGCCAGGAACAACUAGAGCACCAUCAAAUCCUAUGGGUAAGACAAGCUCUCAGAGGAAAAAAGGAAGGAAGGAUUUUCCACAUCAGCUACCUGUUUCA